UACAGAGGUCUCAAGCGUUGUUCGGAUUCAUUGGGCGUAAAGGGCGCGUAGGCGGCGGGGUAAGUCGGGUGUGAAAUCUCAGAGCUCAACUCUGAAACUGCACUCGAUACUGCUCUGCUUGAGGACUGGAGAGGAGACUGGAAUUCACGGUGUAGCAGUGAAAUGCGUAGAUAUCGUGAGGAAGACCAGUGGCGAAGGCGGGUCUCUGGACAGUUACUGACACUGAGCACGAAGGCCAGGGGAGCAAACGGG
rnacentral:rRNA from 1 species